rnacentral:rRNA from 1 species
GAUGAACGCUGGCGGCGUGCCUAAUACAUGCAAGUCGAGCGAACAGACGAGGAGCUUGCUCCUCUGACGUUAGCGGCGGACGGGUGAGUAACACGUGGAUAACCUACCUAUAAGACUGGGAUAACUUCGGGAAACCGGAGCUAAUACCGGAUAAUAUAUUGAACCGCAUGGUUCAAUAGUGAAAGACGGUUUUGCUGUCACUUAUAGAUGGAUCCGCGCCGCAUUAGCUAGUUGGUAAGGUAACGGCUUACCAAGGCAACGAUGCGUAGCCGACCUGAGAGGGUGAUCGGCCACACUGGAACUGAGACACGGUCCAGACUCCUACGGGAGGCAGCAGUAGGGAAUCUUCCGCAAUGGGCGAAAGCCUGACGGAGCAACGCCGCGUGAGUGAUGAAGGUCUUCGGAUCGUAAAACUCUGUUAUUAGGGAAGAACAAAUGUGUAAGUAACUAUGCACGUCUUGACGGUACCUAAUCAGAAAGCCACGGCUAACUACGG